AUGCUGGCUUUGCAUUACAUCUACUAAAAUUGGAGCAUGCCAAGAAGAUUAGAAUGGCUGCUGCACAAGAAUGAGCCCCAAAUCCAUGAAGUGUUCUGUAAAUUU
ensembl:snRNA U6 U6 spliceosomal RNA